GAUGAACGCUGGCGGCGUGCCUAACACAUGCAAGUCGAACGGAAAGACGAGGAGCUUGCUCUGCUGACGGUGGCGGCGGGCGGGGGAGGGACACGUGGAUAACCUACCUUUAAGACUGGGAUUACUUAGGGGAACCGGAGCCAAUACCGGAUUAUAGAUUGAACCGCAGGGUGGAGUAGGUAAAGGCGGUUUUGCUGCUACUUAUAGCGGAUGCCGCGCCGGAUUAGCUAGUUGGUAAGGUAACGGCUUACCAAGGCAACGAUGCGUAGCAGACCUGAGAGGGUGAGCGGCCACACUGGAACUGAGACACGGUCCAGACUCCUACGGGAGGCAGCAGUAGGGAAUCUUCCGCAAUGGGCGAAAGCGUGACGCAGCAACGCCGCGUGUGUGAUGAAGGUCUUCGGAUCGUAAAACUCUGUUAUUAGGGAAGAAGAAAUGUGUACGUAACUAUGCACGUCUUGACGGUACCUGAAGAAAAAGCCCCGGCUAACUACGUG
rnacentral:rRNA from 1 species